GCUUCAAAUGUUGACCACUACAGUUAGCAGGACAGCUAUCUAUGGCAUGUCAUGUAAAUUGUCCAUGUUGUGUUUCUUAUUCUCCUCAUUUUAUGGCAUUGAGACUAAUCUGUGCUUCCAGAUGAUGCUCAGCAAUGGCCCAGUGUCUGCAAAGAAAACGUUUUAACAAUGGCCCAGUGACCACCAUGCAAAUGAGCAAAUGAUUUUUAUCGGACUUGUAUCCUACACUGAAAAAAAGUGAAACUACUGUGUUGUUCAUUUAAAGUGCAUUUUUACAUUGGACUAAGUGAAAAUCAUGGUUUCUGGUUUAAACCUGUUUUUUUCAGUUUGCCUUAAAGCAAAUAACGAAGCCCCUAGAACAAAUUAAAAACAACAAUUUGACUUAAGUAGUAUUUUUACUUUAAACCAGAUGUUUUCAUGUCACGUGACCACAUGACGUCACAUUAACUAACUGCCCGCGCCACCAGCCAGCAUUUUGCCAUCCGCCAUUAUCGCUUCGAGUGUGAAGACGGUCCGUUGCCCAGGAAAUCUUUUUAGACAAGGUUGGAUUUUGUUCCCUGGAAAUUCCAGAAUUUUGCCCUAAUUGCUGAAUUUGAUCCUUUUGGAUGGGCAGACAUGGCAGUCAAAAGGCCAGCUAAGUUGCGUGUUAUUCUGAAUCCUGAUGACACCAGGAAGCUAGUUUUGCCUGGUGGAAUUCCAGAGUCAAUGGAGCAGCUUAUGGAUGAAGUUAGGAAAGUGUGUGGGUUAAAUGGCAAUUUAAGACUGCAGUACCAAGACAGAGACUUUGGAGAUGCACUAGUGAACUUGACAUCUACUGUGGAACUUGAGGAUUUGGCAACUGUCAAGGUCAUCCCAAUAUCUGAUGUUAGAUGUUUUAUUGUGCUUUAUUGUGUUCAGUCUAAGUGUGAAGCUCUAAAUAUUGGAGAAAUUUGGAUACAGGAUGUUUUAUUGUGUUAGAUCUUGUAUUCAAAUACAUUCCAUGAAUAAUGGAAGAGGCCAUUGUUAAAUCCUCGUCAUUUCUCUCAAUUUAUCACUUAUUUUACUAAAGUAAAGUUGUUGAAAAGUUUAACAUACCACUUUAAUGUGGUAAAGGUUACAGAAAGGUUGAGUUUUCAAGGAGAGGUGUACAAAACAGUUUUACAUUAAUGUGGUUCAAGUUGACAAUGUUUUAAAAAAAAAAAAAAAAAAACUUUUUAAAACCAUUUUAUUUUAAUGUUUUUCCAUCUAUUGUUUAUAAAGGCUAGUCUAACUGGCA